GACGAACGCUGGCGGCGUGCCUAAUACAUGCAAGUCGAACGCAGUGGGGACGGGUGAGUAACACGUGGGUAACCUCCCAUCAGAGGGGAUAACACUUGGAAACAGGUGCUAAACCGAUACUGAUGGAUGGACCCGCGGUGCCUUAGCUAGUUGGUGAGGUAACGGCUCACCAAGGCCACGAUGCAUAGCCUACCUGAGAGGGUGAUCGGCCAAAAUGGGAGUGAGACACGGCCCAGACUCAUACGUGAGGCAGGAGUGGGGAAUCUUCGGGAAUGGACGAAAGUCUGACCGAGCAACGCCGCGGGAGGGAAGAAGGUUUGCGGAUCGGAAAACUCUGGUGUUAGAGAAGCGGUAUCUAACCAGAAAGCCACGGCUAACUACGUGCCAGCCGCCGCGGUAAUAC
rnacentral:rRNA from 1 species